AGGCGAUUAAGGACGUGCUAAUCUGCGAUAAGCGUCGGUAAGGUGAUAUGAACCGUUAUAACCGGCGAUUUCCGAAUGGGGAAACCCAGUGUGUUUCGACACACUAUCAUUAACUGAAUCCAUAGGUUAAUGAGGCGAACCGGGGGAACUGAAACAUCUAAGUACCCCGAGGAAAAGAAAUCAACCGAGAUUCCCCCAGUAGCGGCGAGCGAACGGGGAGCAGCCCAGAGUCUGAAUCAGUGUGUGUGUUAGUGGAAGCGUCUGGAAAGACGCGCGAUACAGGGUGACAGCCCCGUACACAAAAAUGCACAUAUUGUGAGCUCGAUGAGUAGGGCGGGACACGUGGUAUCCUGUCUGAAUAUGGGGGGACCAUCCUCCAAGGCUAAAUACUCCUGACUGACCGAUAGUGAACCAGUACCGUGAGGGAAAGGCGAAAAGAACCCCGGCGAGGGGAGUGAAAAAGAACCUGAAACCGUGUACGUACAAGCAGUGGGAGCCUCUUUUAUGGGGUGACUGCGUACCUUUUGUAUAAUGGGUCAGCGACUUAUAUUCUGUAGCAAGGUUAACCGAAUAGGGGAGCCGAAGGGAAACCGAGUCUUAACUGGGCGUUAAGUUGCAGGGUAUAGACCCGAAACCCGGUGAUCUAGCCAUGGGCAGA
rnacentral:rRNA from 1 species